GGGGAAAGCACUGCUUAGUUGUUCUGUGCAGCAGUUUGGAUACCUGUAAACAGGCAUGCAUCCUGCUAAAUGCAUCCGUGGUAAUGAGCUCUUACGUAAUUAAUAUUUCAAGCAUUCCCAUGCUGGAUUGAUAUACUGUAAAUGAACAGUGUCAGAUGACAACGGAAAUUAGAUAAGGAGCAGCUGGAAGUGAUCUGCAUGUAGUUAAGAUCUAGCCCUGCUAGGAAACUGCUUUUAUUAGCAGCAACCUGAAAAAAACUUCAGGGAUUUUCGGAGCGGUGCCUUACCUGCGGGGUGAGAAGGGGGGCUCGUCGUCUGGCUCCCCAGUGCCCAUCAUCAGGACCAGAUCCUUCAUUAGCACCAAGCAGCAUCCUUUGCAGCAUGGUGCCAACCACGUUCGUUAGCUGCUUGUAAUUGGCCCAUGAUUUGGAAAUUGCAUGCAGGAUAUGGGGGCAAAAGAGCUUUUUCUGAAAUUCAUGACGAAAUGAGGAACUGGGUAGCUGAGUGCAGGGAUUUGAAUUUCAAGUGUGGAUGCUCUGCUUAAUGAAAGAUAGAAAUGGUGCUAUUGAGAGGAGAAAAGAAAAGAAUUGGAAUUCCACCUGGGGUGAUAAAAGCAAUCUCAGGUUACCUAUAGAUGACGACCGUGGCCCAGCUGAGAUAUACUGA
rnacentral:lncRNA from 1 species